CCUUUAUUGCGUCAGUAACGAGAACAUAUAAAUACGCAGUGCAUCGCCAAUUAUCCACAUUUCGCGUCAAACCUAUGGAUAAAUCAGAAAAUGGCAAAUAACGUUCCACGUGAGUUGGACAGCUCAGAGCUGCAAAUGAUCCACUCUCUGCUUGAGGACAUGCUUGGGGACUUUCCAACAUUUCCUGAGGAACCACUGAGCAGCAACCAUGUUUGCUAAGGCCUCAACACAGGGCCAUAUCCCUAUGAGCCAUGUGAACCACUGGCUGGGUAUGAACCCUAUAUGUACCCCAAGUCAACUGGCCCCUGCUUGGCACCACUGGACAACAUGUAUUGUCUUCCAGGUGCUAUUUUCCUGGACCAGAUUGAGAAUCAGCCUCCUCUACACAAUGUCAGCGUGCAUUCAUCCAACCAAGACAAGCAAACAAACCGUGUUCCCAAGCCUUCUCCACCUCAGUCCUCCACCUCCAAACAGCAACAUUGUGGAGCGGUAAAAAAAGAGCCGUACGUUAAAAGACCUCCAAAUGCGUUUAUGGUCUUCAUGAGGGAGAACAGACACAACAUAUCUCAGACCCUGAAGCCCAAGCACAGUGUGGAGGCCAACACCAUCCUGGGACAGAUGGUUAGUGUUAAUACUGCGCUCAUCAAUCACCUGGCAAAAGUGAUCUCAUACUUUAUUAUUUAGCUGAAGUUAUCGUAUAUCAUAUUUAUUCUUUUUAAAGAAAUGAAGUACUGAACACUUUGGUUUGAAUGCAGUGCUAAAUAUAUUUAUAUACAUGAAAAAAUGUAAAUGCGGUAGAAAAGGCGAUACAUAAUGUCGGUCCUCCAAGAGGUGGAAUUUUUUCUUAAACGUGGACAGAGCACCAUCAAGCCCAUGAGUGAGAUGGAAUGGUUAUAGUGUAAAGAUUUAGAACAUACUGCCCUCUGACGGCCAGCGAUUACAACGAAUCUAAAAAUAUUCCCAAAAGUUUUUGAAUACUAUUCAUUGCUAUUUACUGGUGAAAGAAAGAAAAAACGAGAGUAAAAUGAAACAAUUUAUUCAUUCACUAAAUAGAAGGACAGAAAAUUAGACAGAUGGCGUGAAUAGAGCACAUUGUUGACUGGGGUGAAACCACAUUCACAGACUUAAACUGAGAAAUGAUCAAGCACCAGAGCGUCAAUCAUAAGAGUAGAGAUCAACAAACUGAGCACAGGAGCGAGCCAUAAUGGGGCAAGGUCACAGAGUUAGAGAUGGGAGGAAACAAGAUAUGAAUUGACAAAAAAUGUAAAAAUGAAAAUAUUAACUAUAUUAGGUUGAUUCCAAAUGUGAUUCUACACAAAAUCUAAAAUAUUAUUCAGAAAAUGUUGGUGUCAUGAAUCAUUUUUCCAUGAUUGAACUUUAACCUGCAUCAGAAAACAACAAGCACAAAAGUAUAAUUGGGAACCAGAUAGUAAAAUGUCUUUUUAGUUCAUGUAAACCUUUUCUCUCAGCCUUAAAUCUAAAUUAGCUUGUACUUUACAAUUGUGAUGAUGGAGAUUAUGAUGAGUCAGUGCAUUCGGAUAAUGAUGCACAAGACAAAACAGUGCUCCUCAGCUGACAAACUCGGCGGACAGUCGGCGUGUGUAGCGGACAGAACGCACCUUCAGUUCGUGGUAGCACUGGACAAAGCUGUGGUAUAUAAAGGUGAUGGGCAGAGCAAGGAGAACAAUGCCACUCACAACACAGAAGCCCCCCAAAAUACGUCCCGCAACAGUCACUGGGUACAUGUCGCCGUAGCCCACUGUGGUCAUGGAAAUGAUCACCCACCAACUGGCAGCGGGAAUGCUACUGUAGUCUUGGUUUCCUUGCUCCAACAACUGGGCCAGUGCGCUAAAGAUGGCCAUGGCUACGCAAAUAAAGACCAGGAGCAUCACCAUCUCACGGUAGCAGCGCCUCAGAGUGAGGCCGAGCGUCUGCAGACCCAGGAAGUGCCGGGCGAGCUUGAUCACCCAGAAGAUCCGCAUGAUGCGAAGCACCCUCAGCGUGACGCCAGCCCUCUGAAGCUGCGAGUUUUCCCCGGUCAGGGUUGUCAUGAUGACUGAGAUGUAAUAUGGCAUGAUGGCCAGCAGGUCAAUUAUGUUGAGGGGGCGUCGCAUAAAUUCACACUUAUCUCGAGACACCAAAAACCGGCCUGUACAUUCCACUGUGAACCAUCCGAUACACACUGCCUCGAUGAUCCUGGAGGAGACGACAAGAUUAAUAAGAGUUAUAUAGUCUCAUUGAUGCACGGCACUGUACCUGUGUUGGUUCAGCGUCUCGGCUGCCUUCCACUCAGGUAAUGUGCUGGCACAAAGCAUGACCAUGGAGAUGAGGACAAACAUCACUGAGACAGAGGCCAGGACCUGCGCUGCCAGUGAGGACGUGGGUUCCUCAAAAGUUUCUCGAAUUCUGUCAAGCCAGUGAUGCUGCGGAUCCUCAUGUGCUCUCGGCACGACCUCAGGAAAGAAGUGCACAAAGUAGUCAGACAUGCAGUGGUCAAGCCGACGUUGGCAGCAGGGCUGAAGGUCGGCGCUCUCCAGACCCCAGUAGAGCAUCUCGUUGUAGAAGGACAGCUCACACAUGUGCGGGAUGAAUCGCAGUUUUCCAUGCUGAAGAUAAGACACGAUGAAACCGAAAGCUUCUGAGUGACGGUCGAAAAAAAACUCAUUACUUUCAUGGUCAUAGUCAUCGCACACUUCCAGGAGUUCACUUUCGGAUGCACAUCGCUGUAACCGGCUGAGUCGAGUGAGAGGAAGUCUCUUCAUUAGUUCUGCUGGGAAACAAAACCUGCGGCCGCCAACGUUCAGCGUACACAGACCGGCCAACUUCAUCUUCAGGAGAUUAGCGUCACAAAACAUCUGUGCGGAUGUCGAACCCUGCAUAAAAGACAAUAAGAGGAACAGAAAAAUACUUGUGUUUUGUUAUUUGUUUUAGUGAAAACGACAGAUUGUAAGGAUGAAUCUGCAUCAUCAGCAACCCAAUAGAAGCUCUGUUGCCACCAUAAUGUGCAAGAAAUAUUGAGUUUUCAGCUCCAUUCAUGUCUCCGUUGAUUGACGCAAGCUCUGCCUUUGACCAAACAGAGAAAAGGAGGCGUGGAAUCGUGAGCUUAACUGACAGAUGAGCAUUGAGAAAUCAUACUUAUCCAGAACGUAAAAUGAAAUUAAUGCCACAACAUUCUGUUUUGCGAUUUAGCAUUAAAAAAUACUGAAAUUAGUAAGCAAUUGUAAAACAUACGUGUUUAAAAAGUUACAUAACACUAUUUUUAUCUUCACCUUCUCUAGUUGAGUGAAAAAAUAUCUUCAUCUGUCUAAUGUUGGCAAAGUGAAUUCAUCCUCUACACCACAAGCUCAAAUCACCUCUCUGUGUUGUUUGACAUACAUUUGAUAUC